rnacentral:rRNA from 1 species
UACGUAGGGACCAAGCGUUGUUCGGAUUUACUGGGCGUAAAGGGCGCGUAGGCGGCAAUUCCAGUCAGUUGUGAAAUCUCCGAGCUUAACUCGGAAUGGUCAACUGAUACUGCUUUGCUAGAGUACAGAAGGGGCAAUCGGAAUUCUUGGUGUAGCGGUGAAAUGCGUAGAUAUCAAGAGGAACACCUGAGGUGAAGACGGGUUGCUGGGCUGAUACUGACGCUGAGGCGCGAAAGCUAGGGUAGCAAACGGG